rnacentral:rRNA from 1 species
UACGAAGGGGGCUAGCGUUGCUCGGAAUCACUGGGCGUAAAGGGUGCGUAGGCGGGUCUUUAAGUCAGGGGUGAAAUCCUGGAGCUCAACUCCAGAACUGCCUUUGAUACUGGAGAGCUUGAGUCCGGGAGAGGUGAGUGGAACUGCGAGUGUAGAGGUGAAAUUCGUAGAUAUUCGCAAGAACACCAGUGGCGAAGGCGGCUCACUGGCCCAUAACUGACGCUGAGGCACGAAAGCGUGGGGAGCAAACAGG